rnacentral:rRNA from 3 species
GCGGCGUGCCUAAUACAUGCAAGUCGAGCGAACAGAUGAGAAGCUUGCUUCUCUGAUGUUAGCGGCGGACGGGUGAGUAACACGUGGGUAACCUACCUAUAAGACUGGGAUAACUCCGGGAAACCGGGGCUAAUACCGGAUAAUAUUUUGAACCGCAUGGUUCAAUAGUGAAAGACGGUUUCGGCUGUCACUUAUAGAUGGACCCGCGCCGUAUUAGCUAGUUGGUAAGGUAACGGCUUACCAAGGCGACGAUACGUAGCCGACCUGAGAGGGUGAUCGGCCACACUGGAACUGAGACACGGUCCAGACUCCUACGGGAGGCAGCAGUAGGGAAUCUUCCGCAAUGGGCGAAAGCCUGACGGAGCAACGCCGCGUGAGUGAUGAAGGUCUUCGGAUCGUAAAACUCUGUUGUUAGGGAAGAACAAAUUUGUUAGUAACUGAACAAGUCUUGACGGUACCUAACCAGAAAGCCACGGCUAACUACGUGCCAGCAGCCGCGGUAAUACGUAGGUGGCAAGCGUUAUCCGGAAUUAUUGGGCGUAAAGCGCGCGUAGGCGGUUUCUUAAGUCUGAUGUGAAAGCCCACGGCUCAACCGUGGAGGGUCAUUGGAAACUGGGAAACUUGAGUGCAGAAGAGGAGAGUGGAAUUCCAUGUGUAGCGGUGAAAUGCGCAGAGAUAUGGAGGAACACCAGUGGCGAAGGCGGCUCUCUGGUCUGUAACUGACGCUGAUGUGCGAAAGCGUGGGGAUCAAACAGGAUUAGAUACCCUGGUAGUCCACGCCGUAAACGAUGAGUGCUAAGUGUUAGGGGGUUUCCGCCCCUUAGUGCUGCAGCUAACGCAUUAAGCACUCCGCCUGGGGAGUACGACCGCAAGGUUGAAACUCAAAGGAAUUGACGGGGACCCGCACAAGCGGUGGAGCAUGUGGUUUAAUUCGAAGCAACGCGAAGAACCUUACCAAAUCUUGACAUCCUUUGACCGCUCUAGAGAUAGAGUCUUCCCCUUCGGGGGACAAAGUGACAGGUGGUGCAUGGUUGUCGUCAGCUCGUGUCGUGAGAUGUUGGGUUAAGUCCCGCAACGAGCGCAACCCUUAAGCUUAGUUGCCAUCAUUAAGUUGGGCACUCUAGGUUGACUGCCGGUGACAAACCGGAGGAAGGUGGGGAUGACGUCAAAUCAUCAUGCCCCUUAUGAUUUGGGCUACACACGUGCUACAAUGGAUAAUACAAAGGGCAGCGAAUCCGCGAGGCCAAGCAAAUCCCAUAAAAUUAUUCUCAGUUCGGAUUGUAGUCUGCAACUCGACUACAUGAAGCUGGAAUCGCUAGUAAUCGUAGAUCAGCAUGCUACGGUGAAUACGUUCCCGGGUCUUGUACACACCGCCCGUCACACCACGAGAGUUUGUAACACCCGAAGCCGGUGGAGUAACCUUUUAGGAGCUAGCCGUCGAAGGUGGGAC